rnacentral:rRNA from 1 species
UACGUAGGGUGCGAGCGUUAAUCGGAAUUACUGGGCGUAAAGCGUGCGCAGGCGGCUUUGCAAGACAGAUGUGAAAUCCCCGGGCUCAACCUGGGAACUGCAUUUGUGACUGCAAGGCUAGAGUACGGCAGAGGGGGAUGGAAUUCCGCGUGUAGCAGUGAAAUGCGUAGAUAUGCGGAGGAACACCAAUGGCGAAGGCAAUCCCCUGGG